rnacentral:lncRNA from 1 species
GGUUUCGCGAAAAUACCGGCAUUUCCUGCCUGAGGUGGGGGAAGGGUCUUUUUUUCCCGCGUCCCGAGUCCCCUGUGGCCUUCCCGCACCCCGCGCUUGGCGAGUUUACGCCAUAGGGUGAAUUGCGACCCAGUGCUGCCAGCACUGCUGGACGUUAGCUUCGCUCUGGUCCUGCAGUGUGGACACUGACGCUUCUGCAGCCGGAGCGCUUUAGCGGCUUUGUCUUAUUCUUAGCCUUACACACAGGCUCAGACGUGGGAGUGGGGCGUCUGCGGGGCUGGAGGCUGAGAGCCCCGCAGAUCCUCUUCCUCCUCAGCAGUCUCCAAACAAUGGAAGGAAAGAGAACACGUGCCUGUUAGACUCAGUACCCCACCUCUCUCAUUGGGGUGCCUAUUGUGCCCAGGAAGGGAAAGCAGCAGUUAAACCUAGGACCUCAGGACUGGGUUCAGACAUCCUGGGUGUGGCCGCUUUUCCUUCUUGGAGAUAAACAAGGAAUGGAGAUAAACGGGCCGGGCUGCGUGGAUCGCGCUGUCAUGCGGAGUCACGAGGUUGGCUAUGUAAAUAACCUUGAAAACAGCUUUGUUUGCGCGGCUCUCAACCUUCGUACAAUUUGUUUUGUAUGUGUGUGUGUGCUCGCAUAGAGGUCAGAAGUGGGCUUCACUUCUCAUGUAGAUGGAGUUACUGGUGUCUGUGAACCACCAGAU